rnacentral:rRNA from 1 species
AGUGAACGCUGGCGGUAGGCCUAACACAUGCAAGUCGAACGGCAGCACAGUAAGAGCUUGCUCUUACGGGUGGCGAGUGGCGGACGGGUGAGGAAUACAUCGGAAUCUACUUUUUCGUGGGGGGUAACGUAGGGAAACUUACGCUAAUACCGCAUACGACCUACGGGUGAAAGCAGGGGAUCUUCGGACCUUGCGCGAUUGAAUGAGCCGAUGUCGGAUUAGCUAGUUGGCGGGGGAAAGGCCCACCAAGGCGACGAUCCGUAGCUGGUCUGAGAGGAUGAUCACCCACACUGGAACUGAGACACGGUCCGGCCCCCCAGGGGAGGCCCCAGGGGGGAAUUUUGGACAAGGGGCGCAACCCUGACCCAGCCAUACCGCGGGGGUGAAGAAGGCCUUCGGGUUGUAAAGCCCUUUUGUUGGGAAAGAAAAGCAGCAGGUUAACACCCCGCUUUUCUGACGGUACCCAAAGAAUAAGCACCGGCUAACUUCGU